AAAACAUAAAGAGCAAUGUUAAAUGGAGGGCGAAUUUAAAGCUGGUCACCACCAACAAACAAGGGCAUCUGUGGCUGCGUAUCAAGUCACAAAGAGGAGGAAGACAACAAGGGGGCAAAGAAGAUUUUCUUGUGUGGAAGAAGUAGGUUGUAUUAAACUUGCAUAGAAGUGGAGCUGUGCAAAAGUGAAGGACAGUCUUAUAAAUUAUG
ensembl:lncRNA